UAAGUUUUUUCUGGUGAAUCAGAAUGAGGGUCUUACAACUGAUAACUAUUCUUGGAUUAUCUUUAUUGGUCGCCGCUAAAGGAAAGCCAAAAUGGUACAAUUUGCAUAAAGGCAUUCCAUAUCCCAUAUUAGGACCGACCAUUUAAUAUUAAACAUAGCAAUAAAGUUUCUACGUAAUGUGAA